rnacentral:rRNA from 4 species
UAAACGACUCUCGGCAACGGAUAUCUCGGCUCUCGCAUCGAUGAAGAACGUAGCGAAAUGCGAUACUUGGUGUGAAUUGCAGAAUCCCGUGAACCAUCGAGUCUUUGAACGCAAGUUGCGCCCGAAGCCUCGGCUGAGGGCACGUCUGCCUGGGUGUCACACA